rnacentral:rRNA from 1 species
GACGACGCUGGCGGCGUGGAUUAGGCAUGCAAGUCGGAACGGUAUCAUCCGUUCGGGGGUGAGAGAGUGGCGAACUGGUGAGUAACACGUAGGUUAUCUACCUCAAGACGGGGACAACCCAGGGAAACUUGGGCUAAUACCGGAUGUGAGCAACUUUAGUUGUUUGAAAGGUGGCGUAAGCUGUCGCUUGGGGAUGAGCCUGCGUCCUAUUAGUUAGUUGGUGAGGUAACGGCUCACCUAGGCAAUGAUAGGUAGGCGGCCUUAACGGGUGGUCGCCCACACUGGGAUUGAGAUACGGCCCAGACUCCUACGGGAGGCAGCAGUCGAGAAUAGUCUACAAUGGUCGGAAGACUGAUAGUGCGACGCCGCGUGAACGAUGAAUCCCUUCGGGGUGUAAAGUUCUUUUAUAUGUGAGCAGUGCUUCUUAUAUUAACAGUAUGGGGAGAGAGAUAUUAGCAUAUGAAUAAGCAACGGCUAACUCCGUG